CUGAAACUUACUGUCUUGUGGUUGAAUUAGCAGACGAGUGUUGUGCCUUUUUUAUGCUGUCAAAAUCUUUUCUCUGUGUAACACUAUAGCAAUUUGUGUUUUGUAGUUUUUCAUUGAUCUGUUUUUAGAUGCUUAGCUAUUUACUUUCAGUGUUCUUUAUUUUUUCAGAAUCACAGUCAUUGGUUCAGGAGCUCAAGGUGUCUAAUAAGGACAAGGCUGGUAUAUCUUUAAAAAACAAUAAAUCAACUUGUCAUGAAACUGCUGAAAUUCCUGAGGGCAGUAAAACUAAAACCUGUUUAGAAAGGAAAAGAGUAAAUGAAAAUGAACUUCAGCAAGAUGAACUACCAACGAAGAAAGGACUUCUGCUUGUUAGUUCAUUUAUCACCAGUGAGCAAAAGAAAAGUAAAGAAAUGCAACAGAUCAUUUCAGAAGAUGAGGACGAUAUUACAGUUUUACAAGAAAAGAAUAAAGAGCUUAAAACACUUGUACUCCUUGUUGAGAAUGAACUUAAAAAUGAAAAGGAGGAGAAAGAAAAAUUAAAUGAACAAGUUGUUUGUUUGCACCAGCAACUUUCUUGUUCUGAAAAAAAGAAUUUAACUUUAAGUAGAGAAGUUCAACAAAUGCAGGCAAAUUAUGACAGCAUAAAUGCUGAACUCAGUGUGCAGAAAAAUGUAAAUCAGGAACAGGAAGAAAAGAUCAUGAAAUUGUCAGAGGAGAUAGAAGUUGCUACAAAAAACAUCACAAGCAAUGUUUUACAAAUAAAAUUAAUGCAGACAAAAAUAGAUGAACUGCGUUCACUUGAUUCAGUUUCUCAGAUCUCAAACAUAGAUUUACUCAAACUUAGAAUUCAGUCAAAAGAGUCUCAGGAAAAGAAUUUCCCUGACACACAGUUACACCUUGCAAGUGAUAAUUUUUUGGUGAAUAAGCAGGUUAAAGAAUAUCAUAUUCAUGAACUCAGUGAGCAAAAUUCUUUCCACUCUAGUAUUGAGGCCAUUUGGGAAGAAUGUAAGGAAAUUGUGAAGGCCUCCUCUAAAAAGAGUCAGCACAUCCAGGAAUUACAACAGCAAAUGGAAAAAUUACAGGCAGAAAUAAAAGGUUAUCAGGAUGACAACAUUGUACUAAAAGUAAAGCACAGCGAGAUUGAGAAUCAAGAUAAUCUCAUCAAGAAAGAGAUUGAGAAUCAAGAAAAUCUUAUACAGCAGCUGAAAGAAGAACUGCAAGAGAAAAGUGUUAGUCUUAGUGUUCAAGUACAGCUUGUAGCUGAAGGAAAGAAAGCACUUUCAGAACUUACACAAGAUGUUAUUGGUUAUAAAGCAAAAAUACAGGAACUUGAAACAAUCCUAGAGACUCAGAAAGACAAAUGUAGUAAUGUAGCCAAGUUAGAGCAAGACAUUUCAGCAAAAGAAUCUGUCAUCUUAAAGCUAGAAGAAAAGCUGAAGGAAUUUCAAGCAAACCUUAAGGAUUCUAUCAAAAAUACCGAAGAUUUAAGUAAAAAAGAAGUUGUGUUGAAAGAAGAAAUCACACAGUUAACAAAUAAUUUGCAGGAUCUGACGCAUUCACUUCAAUUAAAGGAAGAAGAAAAAGAAGCUAACAGACAAGAAAUAGAAAAAUUGAAAGAAGAACUCUCUGCAAGCUCUGCUUUUGCCCAAAGUCUGAAAGCAGAUCUUCAGAGAAAGGAAGAUGAUUGUGUUGAACUGAAAGAGAAACUGACUGAUGCCAAAAAGCAGAUUGAGCAAGUACAGAAAGAGGUAUCUGUAAUGCGUGAUGAAGAGAAAUUACUGAGGACUAAAAUAAAUGAGCUAGAGAAAAAGAAAAACCAGUGUUCUCAGGAAAUAGAUAUGAAACAGAGAACUAUUCAGCAGCUCAAGGAGCAGUUAAGCAAUCAGAAAGUGGAAGAAGCUAUACAGCAAUAUGAGAGAGUAUGUAAAGAUCUAAAUGUUAAAGAGAAAAUGAUUAAAGACAUGCGAAUGACCCUUGAGGAACAAGAACAAACUCAAAUAGAACAAGAUCAAGCACUUGAGGCUAAAUUGAAGGAAGCAGAAUGGUUGGCCACAGAAUUGGAAAAAUGGAAGGAAAAAUACAAAAAUCUGGAAACCAAAAAUGAUUGUAAAUCAAAUAAACAAUUUGAGGGUGACACAGACAUACUUCAUAAAAAGCUCAGUAAGCUUCAAGAUGAAUUGCAGGAAUGUGAACAGCAAUAUAAAGCUGAUAGGAAGAAAUGGUUAGAAGAAAAAAUGAUGCUUAUCACUCAAGCAAAAGAAGCUGAAAAUCUACGAAACAAAGAGAUGAAAAAAUAUGCAGAAGAUAGAGAGCGUUGUUUAAAGCAACAAAAUGAAGUGGAAAUACUGACAGCACAGCUGGCAGGGAAGAACAGUGACCUUCAGAAGUGGAGAGAAGAGCGAGACCAGCUGGUUGCUGCUUUAGAAAUACAGCUGAAAGCACUGAUCUCCAGUAACAGAGAGAAAGAUAAUGAAAUUGAACAGUUACGAAACAGCACAUCAGAGGCUUCUGAAAAAGAAAAACAAAACACAGUCACGAAGCCUAGACAUACUAGUUCAAAAGAUUCUGCCGGGAUUGAAAGUGAACCUCAAUCAGCAAGGUUUGAAAUUUCCAAGAAUGUAGUGGAGGAUGGAUCAGUGGUUCUUGAUUCUUGUGAAGUGUCAACAGAAAAUGAACUAAGUACUCGAUUUCCGAAACCUGAGUUGGAGAUUCAGUUUACACCUUUACAACCAAACAAAAUGUCAGUGAAACAUCCUGGUUGUACCACACCAGUGACAGUUAAGAUUUCUAAGGCCCGGAAGAGGAAGAGUAGUGAAAUGGAAGAGGACUUGACAAAAUAUGAAAAUAAGAAGAAUGCUACACCCAGAGCAAAUUUUAAAUUCCCUAUUUCAGAGAUGACACAUUCUUCUGUCAAAAAAGAACAAAAGGUUUCUGCACAUUUAUCAUCUAAGAAAACAUACUCUUUACGGAGUCAGGCACCCACAACAAGUGUAAACUUGGUCACUAAGAGAAAAGAAGGGACAUUACAGAAAUUUGGAGACUUUUUACAACGUUCUCCAACAAUUCUUCAGUCAAAAGCAAAAAAGAUAAUUGAAACAAUGAGCUCUUCAAAGCAUUCAAAUUCAGAAGCAAGUAAGGAAAAUGUAUCUCAACCAAAAAGAGCGAAACGGAAAUUAUACACAAAUGAAAUUUCGUCUCCUAUUGAUAUAUCUGGCCAAGUGAUUUUAGUGGACCAUGAAGUAAAGGAAAGUGAUCACCAGAUUCUCAAGCGACGGCUUCGAACACGAAUAGCCAAAUAAAUGACCUUUGGAGAAUGUAAAUUUUAUAUUCAUAAUCAUUGUGACUUGCAUCUUGUCUUUUUAAAGAUAACUGUAUAUGUUAUGAUACAUUAUAUCCUGUACAGAGAUUGCUAUUUUAUACACAGUAUAAUUUUGAUUCAAUAAAUAAGUCAACAAUAAAUUUCCUGGUGUACAUUUUAAAU
ensembl:lincRNA